AACGAACGCUGGCGGCAUGCCUAACACAUGCAAGUCGAACGAGACCUUCGGGUCUAGUGGCGCACGGGUGCGUAACGCGUGGGAACCUGCCCUUAGGUUCGGAAUAACUCCCCGAAAGGGGUGCUAAUACCGGAUAAUGUCUUCGGACCAAAGAUUUAUCGCCUUUGGAGGGGCCCUCGUUGGAUUAGCUAGUUGGUAGGGUAAAAGCCUACCAAGGCGACGAUCCAUAGCUGGUCUGAGAGGAUGAUCAGCCACACUGGGACUGAGACACGGCCCAGACUCCUACGGGAAGCAGCAGUGGGGAAUAGUGGAAAAUGGGCGAAAGCCUGAUCCAGCAAUGCCGCGUGAGUGAUGAAGGCCUUAGGGUUGUAAAGCUCUUUUACCCGGGAUGAUAAUGACAGUACCGGGAGAAUAAGCUCCGGCUAACUCCGUG
rnacentral:rRNA from 1 species